CUAUGCCCGAGACAACCUUCAGGAUCGUAAACGUGCAACAGCUUUAUACCAGAAUGAUUUCUGGACUGAACCAGCUGCUGGGAUGUAGAGUCUUCUGGACAGCCAGGAACCUUCGUGCCUCCUUCAGUCCUGGCCUCCCAAGCUGCUCCUCAGAGCUGACCACAAAGGAUUACGAAUCAUUCCAUUCAUAUCCAGCACCUCUGCCAGCGAGGGAUGUAAGACAACGCUUAAGGCUGUCAACACAAUGGUUAUCUUUGAAAACUGUGGUGUGUGUUUGUGGAGAUCGCCUAUUUGGUACACAAGAGGAUGAAUCUUCCCAGACCAGAGAGAGCACCAGGCCUCCUAGGCAUUGCCAUUAGCAAAGGGAUGCUGGUGCCAGGCUGAGGAAAGGACCAGGAACAAGGUUCUCCACACAUCCUCCAUCCGUGCGUUCCAGGGCUCGUGGGUUUGCUUCAGCCAAAACCUCGAACGAGCCACAUCCUUGUGUUCUUGACUGUGAUGAGGUCUUUUAUUGCAUUUAUAAAUGUUCCCCCUGGGGCUAUUACUCAAAAGGGUUCAUCUAAUGAAUAAGACAACUAACAAUUAUUCUGUUUCAGAUUGCGAGCUAUGUGUAACUUCUCCGAAGGGUCAAACGUGUUAUGUUUGCUCAACAUUGCCCCAGCCUUCUGACACUUGUGAUUACAGAACAGGAGUGCAGGUGAAGUCAGGACACAGAGAGCGCUGCAUACACAGGCCCCCUCUCAUGGAGGAGGACUGCUUUCUGAAAGCAGGGGCGGCUAAGCAUGUUUCAUCAUACAUGGGUGCCCCGGAACCCAGUUACUUUAAGCUCAGGUCUCUCUCUCUCUCUCUCUCUCUCUCUUUUUAAAAUGAAUUUGGUCUCUUUUUUUUAAAAAAGGAACUCUUUCUUUAAGGGUUCUGGACUUUGGGCUGUAUCCUAGGAAUGAAAAGGAUCCUGGGAACCACUUUCUAAAAACAAAAAACAAAAAACAAAACAAACAAACAAACAAAAAACAAAACAAAAAACAAAAAACCCAAAAAACCAAAAAACAAAAAAAAAAAAAACCCAAAAAGCAAAAAACAAACAAAACCCAAAAUCUCUCUUCAGACAGUGCUUCUUCCUAUUUGGCCUGUUCUCUCUGUUCCUGUCCUCCUUUUCUCUGCCCACAUGCCACUGAAGAGUAUAUGCCCCAUUUGGGGCCCAUAUUCCCUUAAGGAAGAGUAAUAGGUACUAACUACACACACAGCUUUGCCCAAGUUGAGGACGCCUAUGAAGAGCCGGGUCUGAGUUUAGGAGUACAGGAGACUUUCCCUUUCUUCCAGGUAGACCCCCCCCCCAAAAGUUACAGUUAACUGGAUCCCACAAAAGAAAGGUUAUCUCCUUUAAUUUAGCUGUUGGUAAGUAAGAAACUUAACUAUUAUCAUCCCCAUAUGAGCACAUCUUCAAGUCGGGGUGAUUGAGGUGUAAUUCGCACCCCCACUUGUAGGUAUGGGACUUAAUGUCAGCAGUGUAUAUAGUAACAGAACAACUGUCACAGUCAGCAUGGAGAUCCGUUCCACCCCCCAGGAAUUCUCUCCUCCCAGCCCCUGGCAAUUGUCCAUCUGAUUUGACCAUUUAUAAAGGUAUCAAGGACAUGAAGUGCCCAAGUGUCACUCUUCAAAGCCCUGGAGAUACCUCUGAGUCUCUGAGUACCCUGAACAGAACUCCCAGGUGCCCACAGUGCUCUGGCCCGGUGCAGAGCUGCCAUGCUGUAGAAUUUUCACUCGUGCUUUAUCCACUCCUGGCUUCUGGGACCUGCCGUCCUCCAGUUGGGGCACUGAAAUGUCCGAGAAGACCAUUGGGAUAAGGAUGUUUUUCUAAGAAGAUAAAAGCCCCUUCACCCCGCCCCCCCAAGCAUUCUGGUUGCUUGGCAGUGUGCCAGUAAUGCCAGAGGAUCAGAUUUCGACCCAGGAGCAAGAGCAGCCCUGAUAAAGGACAAAGUAUUUUCCACUACAUGGGAGAAACACUUUAAGACCACUUACGUUUGAUGUUUGAGUCUUGCUGGUCACUCCUUGAUAUCCUGGGGACAUCCAGCUUUGGAAACAAUGGUCAAAUGUCCACUCCUGGAAGGGAAAACCAUGAUUCCAGGACUAGAAGAUGCCAGAGGGAGUUUGGGCUUCCCCAGAAAUAUAGCAGUUCCCCCACAGAGCAGUUCUCUCUGUAAGGACAAUUGUGUAGUCCUCUUUAAUCAUUCAUUCCUGGGUCUAAGAAAUUUACCUGGAAUAUAUUUUCCUAAGUCUCAAUAUGAGUUACUAUUUGGGCUGGUUUUAGGGCUCUUCUCUAGUUUCAGGAUUUAUCUUCCUUAAGGUUUCUCACAUUUAAUGACUACUUUAUUUUCUGGUUGCAUCUAUACAGACAUGUGGGCAUAUGUAUUUCUGUCUUCAGGCUCCUGAGUGCCCACUGUAAUCUUAAAUUGUAUCAUCUCUCUAGUCCUGAGAAUCGUCUCUUAAAUAAACAAAUGAAGGACGGACUUGAUCUCUCA
ensembl:lncRNA